AUACGGAGGGUGCAAGCGUUAUUCGGAAUCACUGGGCGUAAAGGACGCGUAGGCGGGUUGGCAAGUCAGAUGUGAAAUCCUACAGCUUAACUGUAGAACUGCAUUUGAAACUGCUAACCUAGAGUAUGGGAGGGGGAGAUGGAAUUAGUGGUGUAGGGGUAAAAUCCGUAGAUAUCACUAGGAAUACCGAAAGCGAAGGCGAUCUCCUGAAACAUAACUGACGCUAAGGCGUGAAAGCGUGGGGAGCAAACAGGAUUAGAUACCCCAGUAGUCCC
rnacentral:rRNA from 1 species